AUUUAUAUGCGACAUAUUUGUUUCCACUGUUUUGAUAGCUAGACCUUCACAUUUGCUCACAAAUAAUUUAAAAAAUCAGACCCGUAUGACUUCUUUCAGACAACCUCUUUAGAGUCUGCUUAAUGAUAAACAUAAGGGAGGUUCAGCUGGUUUGAAUAUGAGUUCACUUCUGAAUAAUCAUGUAUUUAAUUGUUUUACUAAAUGGAGCAAUAGCUUCCAGUCAGCAAUAGUAUGUAAGCCUCUCUGCUUUACUAACCUUUACAUGUUUUUUGAGUAGGGAUGUUUUGUUGGCUGUGGGUCCCCAGCACCCACCCAAAGGAUGUGAUUGAUCCAAAAGAAGGAUGCUUUGGAAGGGGCUGGCCAGGGACAGACCCAGCUGUACUAUCUGCACCUGUGAAGCUUCGUUGAGGAGAAGAUGGCGAUGCUGAUAAGGUGCAGCUGUGAAAAAAGAGAAAUGCAGGCUGCAGGGCCUCAGGGAGCACCCUGUGAGUGCUGGGGAAGGAGAAGGACUUUGAGCUGCAAUCACCUCUAACUUCUGACAUCCUGAUAAAGGAAAAAUUGGUGGAAUCCUCUCUGGGGGGAAAAACAAACAAACAAAAAAAACCCCUGAUUUAUCUCAGCAACACCAGUGUUAACAGCCUACAGGAAUCCCUUAAGGCAACAGUUGCUGAAGACUAAUACCUGAAUAUGGAUGUUUUUCCAAAAUUGGGCUUUUAACUAUUUGUUUUCAUCUAUUUUUAGUCUGCUCAUGGUAGCAGUAAUUCAGAUGCAGUAAUGUACAACUCAAACUGUCAAACUAAUUACAUUCUACGUUCUUUUAAAAAUUUGAAGGGAUGGAAAUAUUUAGCAAGCAUGUAUAAUAUGUUCAGGAUACUAUCAUGUCUUUGUCAAAGCUCCCUGAUUUCACAGGAUGCAUGAAUAAUGGAAUGGGUUACUUUUAGAAGGUGAAAACAAUCUCUAAUUUUUUUAGUCUGUGUUUGUCGUCUUACAUAUGAUAAGAGAAUGUUAAAUUUAUUUUAUUUUAUUGCAAAAUUUAGCAUACUGUCUUGGGAAAAUCAGUUGUCAGCUGCACAUAAUUGUUUGCUUUAAUUGUGUAUGGUAAGCAAGGAGCAUCUUAGAGAUGAAGGUGCAAGAAUCAUUUCCUUGCCCCUUCUCUCAAGACUAUGGGAAUUCAGAAGAAUUUAGGUUUUGAAGUGUAAUGGCUGGGAGUCUGUGCCUGUUUUAAAUAGAUGCAGGAUGCAAGAUGGAACUGUAGGCCCUGCUUUUUUAGGAAUGCACCAUUGGCUGCGCUUUUGCUGUUUUAUUGCCAUGAAAGAAUGGCUGCCUUGAUUAUACGUAAGUUACGAGAGCUGAAUGAUUCUGGCGAGUUAAAAAUGUAAAAGCGACGUUUUCACUGUUUAAAAAAAUGCAGAAGUGUAGCCACUGAUAUAUUAAAUUAAGGUAACCGCAUGUAAAUGCGCAAUGUGUAUUCAUUUAGCGUGUGGCUUGGACUAGCUGUUGGAUGACUAAUGGGUUGCUUCAUGUUAGUCAGCAGAUACGGAUGUGAAGAACAGGAGAAUAUCUAGAAGCAGUUAAUUCAUCUGUGCAUCCAGCCUGAGCAGCUCUUAAAAUCUCUGCAAGGCCUAGCUGCCUCUCUGGUUUUCCUAAUGCAAAUAAAAUGUAGUAUCUACAUUAAUUAAUAUUUCUGGGAGACGGCCAAAGCGGGGAAUGCAUUUGUUUCUUAAUAAGAAAAUAAUUAUUGUAUAAUUCAUUUGACUACAUCAGCAUUUUGCAGUAGUUUUUUUUUAAUAGCUAAUGACAAUCUCUUGUGGAAGAAGAAUCUUUCUUCCUUGGUGGGGAAAGUUGUGGGGAGUUUAAAAAUAACAGCUGCCACGUUUGUAAUGUCUGUAGCACUGUACUGCUCAGAAUGUACAUAUUCAUGUCUAUUUUCUGUGCUUUUUAGGAAAUCUUCGGUUGUUCAUGCAAGUAGUUAAUGGACCAACUUUUUUAAAUCCUUAAUGGGGAUGGCCCUUCUGAUGUACUGCAAGGCCAUCUUCUAAUCAGUAGAGUGCGGAAGUCUAAGAAAAUGAGUACGUGUCCUGUAUCUAAGUCAAUAUACUUAAAUAAAAUGGACAAGAAUUUUAAUUAAAAAAAAGUUUCGCAACUUCUAUCACUCUUUACAUGAUGGAAAGCUGACAGUCUGAAGA